rnacentral:rRNA from 1 species
GUGAGGAAUAUUGGUCAAUGGGCGGGAGCCUGAACCAGCCAAGUCGCGUGAAGGAAGAAGGAUCUAUGGUUCGUAAACUUCUUUUGCAGGGGAAUAAAGUGCAGGACGUGUCCUGUUUUGUAUGUACCCUGAGAAUAAGGAUCGGCUAACUCCGCGCCAGCAGCCGCGGUAAUACGGAGGAUCCGAGCGUUAUCCGGAUGUAUUGGGUUUAAAGGGUGCGUAGGUGGUUUGAUAAGUCAGCGGGGAAAGUUUGCAGCUUAACUGUAAAAAUGCCGUUGAAACUGUCGGACUUGAGUGUAAAUGAGGUAGGCGGAAUGCGUGGUGUAGCGGUGAAAUGCAUAGAUAUCACGCAGAACUCCGAUUGCGAAGGCAGCUUACUAAGCUACAACUGACACUGAAGCACGAAAGCGUGGGGAUCAAACAGGAUUAGAUACCCCAGUAGUCC